UACGUAGGGAGCUAGCGUUGUUCGGAAUUACUGGGCGUAAAGGGCGCGUAGGCGGCCUGCUAAGUCGAACGUGAAAUCCCUGAGCUCAACUCGGGAACUGCGUCCGAUACUGGCAGGCUUGAAUCCGGGAGAGGGAUGCGGAAUUCCAGGUGUAGCGGUGAAAUGCGUAGAUAUCUGGAGGAACACCGGUGGCGAAGGCGGCAUCCUGGACCGGCAUUGACGCUGAGGCGCGAAAGCCAGGGGAGCAAACGGG
rnacentral:rRNA from 1 species